rfam:TPA: Bos taurus chromosome 19, whole genome shotgun sequence.
UCCCUGGUGGCUCAGAUGGUAAAGAAUCUGCCUGCAGUGCAGGAGAACCCAGGUUCAAUCCCUGGGUGGGGAA